GAUGAACGCUGGCGGCGUGCCUAAUACAUGCAAGUCGAGCGACCAGACGAGGAGCUUGCUCCCCUGACGUUAGCGGCGGACGGGUGAGUAACACGUGGAUAACCUACAUAUAAGAAUGGGAUAACUUCGGGAAACCGGAGAUAACACCGGACAAUAUAUUGAACCGCAUGGUUCAAUAGUGAAAGACGGUUUUGCUGUCACUUAUAGAUGGAUCCGCGCUGCAUUAGCUAGUUGGUAAGGUAACGGCUUACCAAGGCGACGAUGCGUAGCCGACCUGAGAGGGUGAUCAGCCACACUGGGACUGAGACACGGUCCAGACUCCUACGGGAGGCAGCAGUAGGGAAUCUUCCGCAAUGGGCGAAAGCCUGACGCAGCAACGCCGCGUGAGUGAUGAAGGUCUUCGGAUCGUAAAACUCUGUUAUUAGGGAAGAACAAAUGUGUGAGUAUCUAUGCACGUCUUGACGGUACCUGAACAGAAAGCCACGGCUAACUACGUG
rnacentral:rRNA from 1 species